UAAAAGGUACGUGCGUGGGAUGGAAAUGUUAUCUUGCCGGAACUGUUUUCCGUGAGGUUGGAGUAAUGUUGAGCGGGUUUACUUGAACUUUUGGUGUUUGGUAUGCUUAUGUUUGUGAGAAGCACAAAUCCGUAGUUGGAUGGAGUCUUUCCUCCUCAAAGGCUGUAACAUCUGCCCAACCAUCCAGCUUGCCUUCUGGGAGUGUAAUCAAAUCUAGCCUGCAAACAGGGGCAUUUGUCUUUGAGGUAGACUGGACUGGACUAAGAAUAUCCUGGCUAUAUCUAAAGCUUCUGACCGACAGAUUCUUCCCAAGCCUUUGCUUCCUGAUUUAUCUCAACAUCCGUCAUUAAUAAAAAUCUUCUGAAUUUGUAGUAAUGGCUAUGAUGAAUACCGCUCCACAAACGCCAUACUUAACAGGU